ACUCCUACGGGAGGCAGCAGUAGGGAAUCUUCCGCAAUGGACGAAAGUCUGACGGAGCAACGCCGCGUGAGUGAUGAAGGUUUUCGGAUCGUAAAACUCUGUUGUUAGGGAAGAACAAGUACAAGAGUAACUGC
rnacentral:rRNA from 1 species